rnacentral:rRNA from 1 species
UACAGAGGUCUCAAGCGUUGUUCGGAUUCAUUGGGCGUAAAGGGUGCGUAGGUGGCGCGCUAAGUCAGGUGUGAAAUUUCGGAGCUUAACUCCGAAACUGCAUUUGAUACUGGCGUGCUUGAGGACUGGAGAGGAGACUGGAAUUCAUGGUGUAGCAGUGAAAUGCGUAGAGAUCCGGAGGAACACCAGUGGCGAAGGCGACACGCUGGGCCGUACCUGACACUGAUGCGCGACAGCAUGGGGAGCAAACAGG